CAACAGUCUUCCAUGGUUCAGUAAGAUUCAUUCUAUUGGGAGUUUGUUGUAGUCAUAGUAUCAUAGCUGACAGAAGGAAAUGAAUUGCCAUAAAGGUUUCUACUUGUUUGGCAAAAACUCUAAGCUUCAGUUCCUGACUACACUGCUCUAGAUGACUACGAGCUCUGAACUUGCUAAAAGCUGAUGUGGACCAGUCCAGCCAAUGUGAUUAUUCCCUGUCUCUACAGCUAGGUCAGAUAGCCACAUGAUUCUGGCUCAUUGUCCAGCCUUUGACUAGCCUUUCAGCCAUUUUAAGGCCCUGACAUUGGCACCGCAAUGUCAGCUUGAAGCAGUUCCAGAAGAGAAUAUAUCAUCCCAUGUUCCCUCCACAAAAUGGGUAGAAAUAUUGGUCAAAGGAAACUCCCUGGCAUAGGGGACAAAAUGGAUAACUAUAAUGCCCAUUGACAUACCAGGAAAAUAGGUUCAGAGUUGUCAAUUGAUUCAAAGAUCAGAACUACAGGGCCUUAAGAAUGGCAAUAGAUACAGAUUUCACUGAACUAGAAAAAAAAUGUUAGCUAAUGGUUCUUAGGUCCCAAUACCUUAAACUCCUGGGCAGAUAGGACUCAUGACUGAGUCCUGUCAUUGGUACUUGUGAAUGGGGAAAUUUGGCGGGUAGGCAAAAUAGCUUGACCACACAGCUGCCAUGACAGGCUUAGAGGCCCGGACACAGCUUCUGGCAGGCAAUGCCUAGACUCAAGAAAAGCCCUAAACUGACUUCACCCAGUGGGACCUGCAUCUAAGGGAAAAUACCUGACCUUCUAAACAUUCCCUAUACCCAUAGACAAAUGUUAGCCAAUCAGUCUCCUGAACCCUGGAAAUCAUCUCACCCCAACCUCUGUUAUCAUAAAGACCCCACCCUGACUGGGUUUGGGGCACUCUGCUCUCACUGGUGACUCAGAGAGUCCAAGCUCCACACCUGAAGUAAAUAAAGGCUUUUUGCUUUUAUAUCUAGGA